AAAUUACCCGCUGAAUUUAAGCAUAUAAGUAAGUGGUGGAAAAGAAACGAGAGCGGAUUCUUCAAGUAAUGGCGAAUGAAGAAGGGAGAGCUCAUAACUAAAAGCAAAGACAACCAUCUUCGGAUGAAGUGCUUUGCAUUGUAGAGUCUUGACCUAUGACCAGUAGGGGUGUGUGUGUAAGUCUUCUGGAAAGAAGCGCUACGAAUGGUGAAAGCCCAGUCCAACACAUGCAACUCCCUACGUACGGUCUAGGAUCUUUGAGUCGUGUUCCCUGGGACGGGAGCGCUAAUUAGAUGGUGUAUUUCAUCUAAAGCUAAAUAUUUUCUCGAGUCCGAUAGCCAACAAGUACCGUGAGGGAAAGAUUACAGCAGUACUUUGAAAAGAGGGUUAAAAGAACCUGCAACCACUGUAUUACAAGCACUUGGAUCCUUCCAGUUAGUCGGCAAUGUUGUUCCGCGUUGUUGUUCUUCAAUAUCGUGGAUAUGCAUCACGCCGACUGAACUAUCAGCGCAAUUAGCGAGUCUGUCAAUUACCCAGGAUUGAACUGUUCUCUGAGCGGAUCGCCUGGUGUCGAUGACACAGACUUACGUUUUGAUUGAUGCGAGUUUUGUCGUUCAUUUUGGGCUUUCGUCUUUUGAUGGUAGUUCACGAUGCAAUGGCAUCUCGACUCUGGGAAACCAGAGUCUUCUGCGUUGAUGCGGUAGAGGUUUCGAAUGACCCGUCUUGAAACACGGACCAAGGAGUCCACACACGUGUGCGAGUACGUAUCGAUCAACGAUAUGUGCAUAGUGAAAGUGACAGUUACGAUUGAACGAUGUAUUUCGGAUCUAGUAACAACCGACUUCGCUCCACGGAAAGAGGUUUGAGUGUGAGCACACCUGUUGGGACCCGAUAGAUGGUGAACUAUAUCUGAGGAGGGUGAAGCCAGGGGAAACUCUGGUGGAAGCUCGUAGCGAUACUGACGUGCAAAUCGUUCGUCACACUUGGACAUAGGGGCGAAAGACUAAUCGAACCAUCUAGUAGCUGGUUCCCUUCGAAGUUUCCCUCAGGAUAGCUGGUGUAGAGCAGUUUCAUCAGGUAAAGCGAAUGAUUAGAGGAUUCGGGGGCGUGUUGCCUUCGACCUAUUCUCAAACUUUAAAUGGGUGGGUGAYGGAGAUUGCUUAAGCGAAUCUCCUCAUGCAGAAUGUAUACAUCUAGUGGGCCUUUUUUGGUAAGCAGAACUGGCGAUGAGGGAUGAACCUAACGGCGGUGUAAGGUGCUUAAUUGUUCGCUCAUCAGACACCAAGAAGGGUGUUGGUUCAUUUUGACAGCAGGACGGUGGUCAUGGAAGUAGAAACCCGCUUAGGAAUGUGUAACAACUCACCUGCC
rnacentral:rRNA from 1 species